rnacentral:rRNA from 1 species
CCUACGGGAGGCAGCAGUGGGGAAUUUUGGACAAUGGGGGGAACCCUGAUCCAGCCAUGCCGCGUGAGUGAUGAAGGCCCUAGGGUUGUAAAGCUCUUUUGUGCGGGAAGAUAAUGACGGUACCGCAAGAAUAAGCCCCGGCUAAUUCGUG